GCCUAGUUAGCUUAGUUGGUAGUGCGUCUGCCUUGUAAGCGCAAGACCGCGGGUUCGAAUCCCACCCAGGGCG
rfam:Asian citrus Psyllid, Diaphorina citri - Florida Strain, whole genome shotgun sequence.